CCUGUAUAAAUAUACCCUACCAUAAAACUCUAUUUGUGUUCAGCUUAGCAAAUCUAUUACAUCAUAAAAAAGAAAAUGGCUGGAAACUCUUUGAGGUCUGCUUUCGUGACCCUCUUCGUGUUUGCAAUCAUCUUAUCUCCAAUGGUAACAUGCGAUGCAGCUCGGUUCACUCAAGAAGGACCCAUAUGCCCUGCUUGUGUAUGCUGCACACCUGCACCACCAGGGUCGUGUUGCCAGUGUUGCGCUACUCCCAUCGAGACACAGUCCCAGAAUGGGACUCCCUGAGCUUAGUAUCAAUAUCCAUCUUUUAGAUGCUGCCCAGACCUGUGUAGGCAGCAGUAUAUACAUUAUAUCAUGAAUAAAAGGAAUUUCUAUAGAGAAUGACCAAUUCUCCUCUGAACCCUCGAUUUGCAGUCUAUACACCACUUUGAUUUCUGAGAAUAAAUUAGCAUGUUUGUUUGUUGUAAUCAAAUGAAAUUAUUCAUGAAUAAAAGAACUUCCUC